rnacentral:rRNA from 1 species
GACGAACGCUGGCGGCGUGCCUAAUACAUGCAAGUCGAGCGAAGUUUUUCUGGUGCUUGCACUAGAAAAACUUAGCGGCGAACGGGUGAGUAACACGUAAAGAACCUGCCUCAUAGACUGGGACAACUAUUGGAAACGAUAGCUAAUACCGGAUAACAGUAUUUCUCGCAUGAGAGAUAUUUAAAAGUUGGUUAUGCUAACACUAUGAGAUGGCUUUGCGGUGCAUUGGCUAGUUGGCGGGGUAAAGGCCCACCAAGGCGACGAUGCAUAGCCGACCUGAGAGGGUGAUCGGCCACACUGGGACUGAGACACGGCCCAGACUCCUACGGGAGGCAGCAGUAGGGAAUCUUCCGCAAUGGGCGAAAGCCUGACGGAGCAACGCCGCGUGAGUGAAGAAGGAUUUCGGUUCGUAAAGCUCUGUUGUUAGGGAAGAAUGGAUAUGUAGUAACUAUACAUGUAAGAGACGGUACCUAACCAGAAAGCCACGGCUAACUACGUG